rnacentral:rRNA from 1 species
CCUUGUACACACCGCCCGUCACACCACGGGAGUCGAUUGGUCCCGAAGUGCGUGGGCUAACCCCUUGCGGGGAGGCAGCGUCCUAAGGAAUGGUCGGUGACUGGGGUG